UAGAGUUUGAUCCUGGCUCAGAUUGAACGCUGGCGGCAUGCUUUACACAUGCAAGUCGAACGGUAACAGGCCGCAAGGUGCUGACGAGUGGCGAACGGGUGAGUAAUGCAUCGGAACGUGCCCAGUCGUGGGGGAUAACGCAGCGAAAGCUGUGCUAAUACCGCAUACGAUCUAUGGAUGAAAGCGGGGGACCGUAAGGCCUCGCGCGAUUGGAGCGGCCGAUGUCAGAUUAGGUAGUUGGUGGGGUAAAGGCCCACCAAGCCAACGAUCUGUAGCUGGUCUGAGAGGACGACCAGCCACACUGGGACUGAGACACGGCCCAGACUCCUACGGGAGGCAGCAGUGGGGAAUUUUGGACAAUGGGCGCAAGCCUGAUCCAGCAAUGCCGCGUGCAGGAAGAAGGCCUUCGGGUUGUAAACUGCUUUUGUACGGAACGAAACGGUCCUGGUUAAUACCCGGGGCUAAUGACGGUACCGUAAGAAUAAGCACCGGCUAACUACGUGCCAGCAGCCGCGGUAAUAG
rnacentral:rRNA from 1 species